rnacentral:lncRNA from 1 species
CUCCUCGUCGUUUGGCAGGGGCUCCAAUGCCCCAGAGCAAAGGGACUGAAAGCAUUCGAUGAUGCUUCAGCGUCCUGUGUUUGUGACCUGGAGAUUUGCUGUCCCAACGCUGUGACAGGGUAGGGCGGGGACGUGGUGUCUGCGGCGUGGUGUCUGGGGCGUGGCCUCGAGCUGCGCUGUGAGGUGAGCGCACACCCAGCAGCCACACACUAGGACUCCGGCUGUCGCACGCAGUCACUGUAGCCCUGCGCACCCCUCUCUGCGAAUGCUUUCUCCCAUCCGCCACCUUUUGCCAUCAUGAGCUGGAGAAAGCGGGCCUCCUGCUCAAAGUGAUAUUGUUGGUUUCCUCUUCAGAAAUUAAAUAUUGGGAACAGGUAUUUCUGUUCCUCUCCAGGUAGCUGCAUGCAUGUCAUCACUCCCCGGCGUCACCUGAAGACGCACAGUGAAUGUCUGCCAUUGACACCUGCUCAUUGGAGCCUGCUAAUGUCCCAGCAGAUGAAGACAAGAGCAAAUGGACCGUCAGCAAUGCGCUUCAUGACGAGUGAACUGGAACCUGAGAGCUCGGUGGUGUGUGUUGCCUUUAAGUCACAUCUGUAGAGCAGCACCCCACAGCCUCCCUUCCUCGGAAUCAGUGCACUCUGCAGACACUGCAAAAGGGGGGCCGUUCCCAGAGUAAUUAGCUUCACCGAUCCAUCACGGAGGUCUCUCCCUUUGUGGCACAGAUUUUGAGCCCUGUGAAUAUGAGGCUGCACUAUCCUCAAAGGAGGAAGAGGUAAAAUAUCGUCUCCUAAGGCAGGGAAGCUCUAAUUUUCUUCUUGAAUAUAGGCCACAGGCAAGCUGUUCAGACCUUGGGUUUCCUUGAAGGAAGCAGCAAAAGGCCAACAAAUUGGCUAUCCCAAAAUUAAUAUUAGUGCUCCCACAAGUUGAUCCCAUCCCUCUUAUUGUUCAAAAUAGUCCAG